rnacentral:rRNA from 1 species
UACGAAGGGGGCUAGCGUUGUUCGGAAUCACUGGGCGUAAAGGGCGCGUAGGCGGCUUUGUAAGUCGGGGGUGAAAGCCUGUGGCUCAACCACAGAAUUGCCUUCGAUACUGCAUGGCUUGAGACCGGAAGAGGUUAGUGGAACUGCGAGUGUAGAGGUGAAAUUCGUAGAUAUUCGCAAGAACACCAGUGGCGAAGGCGGCUGACUGGUCCGGUUCUGACGCCGAGGCGCGAAAGCGUGGGGAGCAAACAGG